rnacentral:rRNA from 1 species
CCCCGCAUGGGGAUAUUUGCUAAAGAUUCAUCGCUGAUAGAUAGGCAUGCGUUCCAUUAGGCAGUUGGCGGGGUAACGGCCCACCAAACCGACGAUGGAUAGGGGUUCUGAGAGGAAGGUCCCCCACAUUGGUACUGAGACACGGACCAAACUCCUACGGGAGGCAGCAGUGAGGAAUAUUGGUCAAUGGGCGUAAGCCUGAACCAGCCAAGUCGCGUGAGGGAUGAAGGUUCUAUGGAUCGUAAACCUCUUUUAUAAGGGAAUAAAGUGCGGGACGUGUCCUGUUUUGUAUGUACCUUAUGAAUAAGGAUCGGCUAACUCCGUGCCAGCAGCCGCGGUAAUACGGAGGAUCCGAGCGUUAUCCGGAUUUAUUGGGUUUAAAGGGUGCGUAGGCGGCCUUUUAAGUCAGCGGUGAAAGUCUGUGGCUCAACCAUAGAAUUGCCGUUGAAACUGGGAGGCUUGAGUAUGUUUGAGGCAGGCGGAAUGCGUGGUGUAGCGGUGAAAUGCUUAGAUAUCACGCAGAACCCCGAUUGCGAAGGCAGCCUGCCGAGCCAUGACUGACGCUGAUGCACGAAAGCGUGGGGAUCAAACAGGAUUAGAUACCCUGGUAGUCCACGCAGUAAACGAUGAUCACUAGCUGUUUGCGAUACAGUGUAAGCGGCACAGCGAAAGCGUUAAGUGAUCCACCUGGGGAGUAC